GAGAGAGAGAGAUGGGCGGCGGGUGUCGCUGUUAUUAGAGAAAACCAUUCCGUGUUUAUUUUAUAGAUUUUGGACCGGAUGUCGCCAUUUUUAAGAGCGGAUGUAUUAAAUUUUUACGAAUACUUGGACACACACUUGUCAAAAUAAAGCGUUCAAGCGUUUUUAAAAGAAACCUGCCAUUGUAACAGAAGGAAAUGAAGAACUGGGGAGAUGGAGAACUGAAGAACUAGAGAAAUUGAGAACUGGG